AAUCUGCACAGCCACCCACGUAUCACUUCACAAUUCAUCAUGGAGUAUUUAACUUCACUGAUGCCUUCGUCUUCUCAUUUUACUUGUCUGAAAUUUUUCAAACACUCAACAACCUCAAAACUCAUAUCUACUUUUCUCUCUGCAAAAGCUUCAUACUUCUCUUCUUGGCAAAGCUUCAUACCGUGCGGCGCCGCGACUAGAACGUAACUGUUGAGUUGAAUUAUUCAAAUUAUCUAUUAAGUGCAAAUUUUCAGGUAUGGAAUUUUAUUUUAAUACAUGUUGUGGUUAAUGUUUUGUCCAUUUUAAUAUUAUGUCUUUAUCAUAUGUGAAUUAAAUUAUAUAUAUGCUAGGGGUGCG